rnacentral:rRNA from 1 species
UCUUCCGGAGGCAGCAGUGGGGAAUCUUCCACAAUGACGCAAGCCUGAUCCAGCAAAGCCGCGUAGUGAAGAAGGCAUCGGGUGUAAAGCUCUGUAUGAGUAGGAAAGUGACGGGCUAUCCCUCGACUUGACGUACUCAGAAAAGCAAGCUAUUUCG